AGAUGAAAUUUGUUCUUUUUACUUUGUUCCUUUGUGGAUUCAUCCUGGAAAUCAAUGGAAAAAGUUCAUCAGGAGCAUGGCUCCCAGAGAAAAAAUCCCUUGUUGCCUGUGAAGGAACAGU